AGCUUUGUGCAGAGGCAGUACUGUAGCCAAUAAGAUUGAUCUGAGACACGAUUAUUGCUCAGUGUAGACUAGAGAUUGAAUGAGAUUUCUGGAAUUCAGGAUUGCUAUAUAAUCACAGAACUGCUCCAUGUAGGCAGUUUUUCGGGAAGGGACAGGCAAGAGC
rnacentral:snRNA from 1 species